rnacentral:rRNA from 1 species
UACGUAGGGUGCAAGCGUUGUCCGGAAUUAUUGGGCGUAAAGAGCUCGUAGGCGGUUUGUCGCGUCGGCUGUGAAAACCUGGGGCUCAACCCCGAGCCUGCAGUGGAUACGGGCAGACUAGAGGUAGGUAGGGGAGAAUGGAAUUCCCGGUGUAGCGGUGAAAUGCGCAGAUAUCGGGAGGAACACCGGUGGCGAAGGCGGUUCUCUGGGCCUUACCUGACGCUGAGGAGCGAAAGCGUGGGGAGCGAACAGG